rnacentral:rRNA from 1 species
CACGUAGGCACCAAGCGUUGUCCGGAUUUAUUGGGCGUAAAGAGCUCGUAGGCGGCUUGUUGCGUCGACUGUGAAAACCCGCGGCUUAACCGCGGACUUGCAGUUGAUACGGGCAGGCUAGAGUUCGGUAGGGGAGACUGGAGUUCCUGGUGUAGCGGUGAAAUGCGCAGAUAUCAGGAGGAACACCGGUGGCGAAGGCGGGUCUCUGGGCCGAUACUGACGCUGAGGAGCGAAAGCGUGGGGAGCGAACAGG